UCUCGGCCUAGCUGUCGCGGUGAACAGCAGGAGCCAUGGACCAGAUGGCUGGAGGGAGGUGCGAGCGGAUCGCACUGGCAGGCAAUUAGGCCUCAAACAAUGGCCCGUGAAAUGUCAGAAGUGGCAAGGAAGGGUCGUGGUGGAACAGCGGGAUGACAACGUAAGGAUGGCGCCAGGAACCCCGGAGACAGUUCCUGCUUGCUCCCACAGGCCCCUCUGGCAGAGGGAACACUCAAUGACCCUUCUCCCCAAUGCCCACGCAGACUCCUCUGAAGAUAAAGAAAAGGCUGAGGGGAAGCUAUAGUGCAGAUGGUGAGCCCCAGGUGUAGAUCGGGUCAGUAGAUGCUGGCACCAAAUAAAACCUGUCAUGACGAUACACACAUGCGAUCCCAGCACUUAAAGAGGCGGGAGGAGGAUCAGGAGUUCAAGAUCAUCCAUGGCCACAUGUAUAGUGAGUUCGAAGGCAGCCUUAGAUAUAGGUGACUUCAAAAGGGGGCGUGGGAGAGAGCGAAAGAACCGGGGGGGGGGGGGAUUGAAAGAGAAACAGGAGAAGGAAACAGUGCUGGAGAAGGAGCAAUGAGAGAAGACAGGGAAGGGAGGUGAGGAGAGAGAGUGUGGAGAGGAGAGGAGUAGGAACCGCCCCUCCCGGUGGCUGCCAGCAACCACGAGAACCCCACACCCACUAGAUGCUGGGGUUAAAGUGAGGCUAAGAGAUGGCGACACCCACCCCCUUGGCCACCACAACUAAGAAUUAUGUAGAGUAAUUAAUCAAGAGCUAAUGAGAAAUGUGUUUUCUCUCGCAGCCUAGCCCCACAUCAUAUUCUUAUUAGCGGAGGUUAUUACAAUAGUAAUCAGCGUGCUCCAGGCGCAAAUUGGGUUUUUUGCUCCACUGCCACCAAUUUAGAAAACCAUUAAUGGCAAGAUAAGGCCCCCGUGGCUCACACCGGGCCAAGCCUGGGAACCUGCAGCCAACUCUCUGCUCAUGAACCUACACGCCCAUGCUCCAGGGGGCGCUCGAGCAAGCAUCCUGGCUCUUCUGGGACGACAGAGAAGAAAAAGCCAACCGCUUUCUAGGAGGUGCUGUACCUGCGGGACCAUAGAACUUUCUCAAAUGUGAAUCCUAUACAACAGUCACUUGGAUGAGACAACCUCAUGGAACAAAACAUUAAAGCCAAGUUUGCCACUAGAGCCAGAGCGCCAUAUACUGUGCCCUUGAGUCCUGCUUCAAGCCAGUCUGCUAGAAACGCUUAGGUGAAUCUAUAGCUCUUAGGCAGGAGGUUGCGAUCAGACACAAGCCCUGGAACAAGUUUCUAUCAGUGAAAAGAGUGGAGAGUUAAGAGUUUGGGGUUUUUCUUAUAAUAAUAAUAAUAAUAAUAAUAAUAAUAAUAAUAGCCGGGCGUGGUAGUGCACACCUUUAAUCCCAGCACUUGGGAGGCAGAGGCAGGCGAAUUUCUGAGUUCGAGGCCAGCCUGGUCUACAGAGUGAGUUCCAGGACAGCCAGGACUAUACAGAGAAACCCUGUCUCGAAAAACCAAAACCAAAACAAAUAAUAAUAAUAAUAAAAAAACUUGUUAUUUACUUAUUUGUGUGUAUACCACAGCACUCGCAUGAAGAUCAGAGGACUUCUCUCCUUCCACCAUGAGGGGCCAAGAGAUUGAACUCACGUUGUCAGGGUUUGGAGGCAAGAACCGUCAUGUUUGGCAGCAAAGACCUCUACCUACUGAGCCGUCACCAUAGCCCUGCUGAGAUAGUUUCAUAACGAUAAAUGCACUCUACUUUUUG
rnacentral:lncRNA from 1 species